AUUGAACGCUGGCGGAAUGCUUUACACAUGCAAGUCGAACGGUAGAGGGGGCAACCCCUCGAGAGUGGCGAACGGGUGAGUAAUAUAUCGGAACGUGCCCAGUCGUGGGGGAUAACGUAGCGAAAGUUACGCUAAUACCGCAUACGAUCUAAGGAUGAAAGCGGGGGGUCGCAAGACCUCGCGCGAUUGGAGCGGCCGAUAUCAGAUUAGGUAGUUGGUGGGGUAAAGGCUCACCAAGCCACAGAUCUGUAGCUGGUCUGAGAGGACGACCGGCCACACGUGAACUGAGAAACGGUCCAGACUCCGACGGGAGGCAGCAGUGGGGAAUGUUGGACAAUGGACGCAAGUCUGAUCCAGCCAUUCCGCGUGCAGGAUGAAGGCCCUCGGGUUGUAAACUGCUUUUGUACGGAACGAAAAGGUCUCUCUUAAUACGGGGGACUCAUGACGGUACCGUAAGAAUAAGCACCGGCUAACUACGUGCCAGCCGCCGCAGUAA
rnacentral:rRNA from 1 species